rnacentral:rRNA from 1 species
CAGGAAGACUGCCCUAUGGGUUGUAAACUGCUUUUAUACGGGAAGAAACACUCCUUCGUGAAGGAGCUUGACGGUACCGUACGAAUAAGGAUCGGCUAACUCCGUGCCAGCAGCCGCGGUAAUACGGAGGAUCCAAGCGUUAUCCGGAAUCAUUGGGUUUAAAGGGUCCGUAGGCGGGAUAAUAAGUCAGUGGUGAAAGUCUGCAGCUCAACUGUAGAACUGCCAUUGAAACUGUUGUCCUUGAGUAAUUAUGAAGUGGUUAGAAUAUGUAGUGUAGCGGUGAAAUGCAUAGAUAUUACAUAGAAUACCGAUUGCGAAGGCAGAUCACUAAUAAUUUACUGACGCUGAUGGACGAAAGCGUAGGUAGCGAACAGGAUUAGAUACCCUGGUAGUCUACGCCGUAAACGAUGGUUACUAGCUGUUUGGCUCGAUUGAGAGCUGAGUGGCUAAGCGAAAGUGAUAAGUAACCCACCUGGGGAGUACGUUCGCAAGAAUG